GCCUAACACAUGCAAGUCGAGGGGUAACAGGGAAAAGCUUGCUUUUCCGCUGACGACCGGCGCACGGGUGCGUAACGCGUAUGCAACCUACCUUUUACAGGAGUAUAGCCCAGAGAAAUUUGGAUUAAUCCUCCAUAAUAUCUUUCUCGUGCAUAUGAUAAAGAUUAAAGCUUCGGUGGUAAAAGAUGGGCAUGCGUUUUAUUAGCUAGUAGGUGAGGUAACGGCUCACCUAGGCCACGAUAAAUAGGGGCCCUGAGAGGGGGACCCCCCACACUGGUACUGAGACACGGACCAGACUCCUACGGGAGGCAGCAGUGAGGAAUAUUGGACAAUGGACGAAAGUCUGAUCCAGCCAUGCCGCGUGCAGGAUGACGGCCCUAUGGGUUGUAAACUGCUUUUAUACAGGAAGAAACACUCCCACGUGUGGGGGCUUGACGGUACUGUACGAAUAAGGAUCGGCUAA
rnacentral:rRNA from 1 species